UGCCAUUACCGACCUCACAACGCAUCGCAACACCUUCAAAUCCCCCUCUCCUCUCUCUCGCCCCUCUUCGCAACCCAUCCAUAAUCACAAUCCUUUCUCCUUUCUUUCUCUCUCUUUCUUUCUCUCUCUCUCUCUCUCCCUCUUUCUCCGAUCGCAAAAACCUAACUCCGUUUUCUCUUCCUCCAUGGCUCAGAAAACCGAGAACGAAGAAACCGAGUUCAAGGUUCCCGAAACCAUUACUCUAUGCGUCAACAACUGCGGGGUCACAGGGAACCCUGCCACCAACAACAUGUGCCAGAACUGCUUCACCGCCUUCACAGCUUCCACCGCCACAACGUCAUCAGCUACCGCGCCCACCGCCGGAGUCUCCUCGCCCUCCGCUAGAUCCGUUGCGUCCGCGCGUCCUCAGAAGAGAUCCUUCCCCGAAGAGCCUUCCUUGGCAGCAGAUCCUCCCUCCUCCG
rnacentral:lncRNA from 1 species